GCCAUCCUACGGGAGGCAGCAGUGGGGAAUAUUGCACAAUGGGGGAAACCCUGAUGCAGCGACGCCGCGUGAGUGAGGAAGUAUUUCGGUAUGUAAAGCUCUAUCAGCAGGGAAGAAAAUGACGGUACCUGACUAAGAAGCCCCGGCUAACUACGUGCCAGCAGCCGCGGUAAUACGUAGGGGGCAAGCGUUAUCCGGAUUUACUGGGUGUAAAGGGAGCGUAGGCGGUGCAGCAAGUCAGAAGUGAAAGCCCGGGGCUCAACUCCGGGACUGCUUUUGAAACUGUUGAACUAGAUUGCAGGAGG
rnacentral:rRNA from 1 species